UACAAAAAGAAGUCUGGUCACAGCUGACAGCAGCCUAUACCCCAGAGACUCCUGAGACAUCUGAUCAGUUCCAGGUUGGAGACUACAGCUACAUACAAUGACACGGAGCCCAGACACUCGAGCAUCGCUGGAAAGGACUGUAUCUGGUGCUGCUGACCACCCUGACAGCCGUCAAUUCUCAGCCCUCACCAGCCACAUACUAACUGUUGGGGCUGAGAGCUGAGACCUAGAGGGACACUCAGCAUGUUUGCCCUGGGUUCCAUCGGGAUAGGUGUGGGAAUAGGCUUGAUUUCUGUUACAAAUGAUAUAACAUUACAUAUGUUAGUACUCCUAACACUUCUUGGGACUGUGCCUCAGGGAUCACAAUCUAUAUAAGUUUAAAAGUUCUAAAAGCUAGUCAUGACCUUGAUAUAUAGGUUUAGAUAGUGUCCAGACAGAAUCCUGAUGCUAAAGACUUAGUAAGACACAAAAAGAUAGAGACGCUUAACAAGGUUGGUUUGAGUCUUGGUUCACUCAGUCUCCCUGGAUGACUACCCUACUCUCUGCUACAGCUGGGCCAUUAUUAAUUUUCUUGGUUUUAGUUUUUGGCCCCUGCGUGACAAACAGGUUAAUUGCUUUUGUUAAAAAUCGAGUGGGUGCUGUGCGGUUGAUGGUUCUGAGACAACAGUACCAGUCAGUUAGGACAACUGGUGAGACCAAAUACGAGACUUGAUAUCAAAAUUCUAAGAUUAGAAUUAUUUAGUAGAAGAAGAAGGGAAUGAAAGGAAAAUUAUACAAAUUUAAGGUUUAAAAAUAUAAAAUUAAAAGAGUAAGCCCCAAAAGCCACAAACUCAGGGCUAAGCCCUGCUGCCAGGAGUAGCAGGCCAUAAAGAUAAAGAAAAGGAAUAAAAAAACCAGCUCAGGCUAUCGAGGACUGACCCAUAAACCAUCCAAAGACAUCCCCCCAGCUACUCAGAGUCAUACUUUAACCAGAUGUCCUCCAGACCCUGAUAAGCCCCUACUUGUGCUUUUCAGCCAUUGUGUCCUGCAGAGAGCACUCCAGGAAACCGGGCAGCCCAAGCCUAACCAGAGGUGUUUCAAAUACAGAUGCUCCAUCAAUUUUGACAAACUUUUAAAAAUAAUGAGGACCUGAAGACCCGACCCUUCUCCUGAUUUAGUAGCUCUGUUCCAGGAACCAGGGGGCCAUAAAACCUUUUGGCCUCCCCUUAUCUCCUGGAGCCAUAAAACAAUCUUGUAACUUGUGGUGCCUUCCCCUUUGACAUCCCCCAUACCCUGGUGCUCACAGCCUCUGCCUUUAAAUACUCUUUCUCCUAGCCUCUCGGGGCCCACACCUCUGUCUCCUGUGUAGGAUAUGUGUCGGCCUGGAGAUCUCUGUAAUAGGUCUCUGUAAUAAACCUCGCCUUUGCUUAUUACAUCC
rnacentral:lncRNA from 1 species